ensembl:lincRNA
CAGAAUGUCUGGGUACCCAGGUAUAUAGGCUGCCAGUUGGGCCCUGAGGCUGUAUCACUUCUAUUUCCCAAUUGCUAGCUUUUGAGGUAACAGCACUCUUCAUCUGAGAAGAAGGGCACUGACAACCGUACUCUCAUGAUUCUCAAGAAUCCUGCUGACUUGUUCAUUAAACAGAACUGGCAACUGACUCCUAAGAUAAAAAUUCUUGACAGCUUUCCAGGCAGAAGGAAGGAUGCUGAGUGACACAUAUAAAUAUAUAAGUGAGAAGGAAGGGUGAGCUCCAAUGGCAGUGACGUUUUCCGGAGCAGUUUAUGGAAGAGGUACUCGUUGUAAGACACUACAUUGCAUUCUGGAGAAUUUGUUCACCGCUGAGCAACAGUUCAACUACUAGCUUCAUCUGUACUACAGAGACUUUGGGAAAAUUUCUUGAAGACCCUUUUUUAAUGGGAAUAACCACUUCCAUUAUUUUAUCUCUGGGUAUUCUAUGGACAAAAUGAAAGUCAUAGAUUAAAUUAACGGAAGGAAAGUGAACUACAAACCAUGCUUACUUCUACUUUGGCAAAGUGAAUUAUUCAUGAAAACGCUGUUGCAAGCAUACAGUGCCAAAGGUAGCCCUCAGGAUGACUUUUCUCAG